rnacentral:rRNA from 1 species
UGGUGGGUAGUUUGACUGGGGCGGUCUCCUCCUAAAGAGUAACGGAGGAGCACGAAGGUUGGCUAAUCCUGGUCGGACAUCAGGAGGUUAGUGCAAUGGCAUAAGCCAGCUUGACUGCGAGCGUGACGGCGCGAGCAGGUGCGAAAGCAGGUCAUAGUGAUCCGGUGGUUCUGAAUGGAAGGGCCAUCGCUCAACGGAUAAAAGGUACUCCGGGGAUAACAGGCUGAUACCGCCCAAGAGUUCAUAUCGACGGCGGUGUUUGGCACCUCGAUGUCGGCUCAUCACAUCCUGGGGCUGAAGUAGGUCCCAAGGGUAUGGCUGUUCGCCAUUUAAAGUGGUACGCGAGCUGGGUUUAGAACGUCGUGAGACAGUUCGGUCCCUAUCUGCCGUGGGCGCUGGAGAACUGAGGGGGGCUGCUCCUAGUACGAGAGGACCGGAGUGGACGCAUCACUGGUGUUCGGGUUGUCAUGCCAAUGGCACUGCCCGGUAGCUAAAUGCGGAAGAGAUAAGUGCUGAAAGCAUCUAAGCACGAAACUUGCCCCGAGAUGAGUUCUCCCUGAGACUUAAAGUCUCCUGAAGGAACGUUGAAGACGACGACGUUGAUAGGCCGGGUGUGUAAGCGCAGCGAUGCGUUGAGCUAACCGGUACUAAUGAACCGUGAGGCUUAAC